UACGGAGGGAGCUAGCGUUGUUCGGAAUUACUGGGCGUAAAGCGCGCGUAGGCGGCUUUGUAAGUUAGAGGUGAAAGCCCGGAGCUCAACUCCGGAACUGCCUUUAAAACUGCAUCGCUUGAAUCCAGGAGAGGUGAGUGGAAUUCCGAGUGUAGAGGUGAAAUUCGUAGAUAUUGGGAAGAAACACCGGUGGCGAAGGCGGCGACCUGGUCCAUUACUGACGCUGAGGCGCGACAGCGUGGGGAGCAAACAGG
rnacentral:rRNA from 1 species